rnacentral:rRNA from 1 species
AGUGAACGCUGGCGGUAGGCCUAACACAUGCAAGUCGAACGGCAGCACAGGAGAGCUUGCUCUCUGGGUGGCGAGUGGCGGACGGGUGAGGAAUACAUCGGAAUCUACUCUGUCGUGGGGGAUAACGUAGGGAAACUUACGCUAAUACCGCAUACGACCUACGGGUGAAAGCAGGGGACCUUCGGGCCUUGCGCGAUUGAAUGAGCCGAUGUCGGAUUAGCGAGUUGGCGGGGUAAGGGCCCACCAAGGCGACGAUCCGUAGCUGGUCUGAGAGGAUGAUCAGCCACACUGGAACUGAGACACGGUCCAGACUCCUCCUGGAGGCAGCAGUGGGGAAUAUUGGACGAUGGGCGCAAGCCUGAUCCAGCCAUACCGCGUGGGUGAAGAAGGCCUUCGGGUUGUAAAGCCCUUUUGUUGGGAAAGAAAUCCAGCUGGCUAAUACCCGGUUGGGAUGACGGUACCCAAAGAAUAAGCACCGGCUAACUUCGUGCCAGCAGCCGCCGUAA